GUUAAUGCCAUAUCUCCCUGGAGCUCUCACAUGGUUCCCCACUGAAGCUAAGCAAGGUUGGGCCUGGCCAGUACCUGGAUGGGAGACCUCCUGGGGAACACUAAGUUUGCUGUUGGAA
rnacentral:rRNA from 1 species